GCGAACGCUGGCGGCAGGCCUAACACAUGCAAGUCGAACGAACUCUUCGGAGUUAGUGGCGGACGGGUGAGUAACACGUGGGAACGUGCCUUUAGGUUCGGAAUAACUCAGGGAAACUUGUGCUAAUACCGAAUGUGCCCUUCGGGGGAAAGAUUUAUCGCCUUUAGAGCGGCCCGCGUCUGAUUAGCUAGUUGGUGAGGUAAAGGCUCACCAAGGCGACGAUCAGUAGCUGGUCUGAGAGGAUGAUCAGCCACAUUGGGACUGAGACACGUCCCAAACUCCUACGGGAGGCAGAAGUGGGGAAUCUAGCGCAAUGGGCGAAAGACUGACGCAGCCAUGCCGCGUGAAUGAUGAAGGUCGUAGGAUUGUAAAAUUCUUUAACCGGGGACGAUAAUGACGGUACCCGGAGAAGAAGCCCCGGCUAACUUCGUG
rnacentral:rRNA from 1 species